AUUCAGGACACAACUUACUGUACCAAAUGUGUCAUCAUAGGACAUGCAUGAUCAUCUUCCCACAAGCUGCUCCAAAUAAGACAAGCCGAACACUGUGUGGAUUGGCAAACAUGGAAUAGCAGAAACUAUUACACCAAAUAUCAGUUGCUAUUUUCUUGGCUGCUAUGAUCCUUUUUUGUCUCCUGUGCUGAUGCUGCUAUUAUGCUGCUACAGUAUCAGAGCAGCUAAAAUCUGAUGAGCAUAUGUCUUUUUGUUCGACAUUCUAUUACAAAGAGGAUAAACAAAUAUCAUCUGAUAAAAACCUCUUACUGCGAUCGAUGUAGAAUCGUUUCGUUGCUACACAUCACAUGUACUCACUCCGCCAAAGGAACCUAAGGAUCUAACUUUGUUUUACUUGGUGUCUUCCAUUAAGGUAUUCAACAGCAUACAGAAGAUCGACUUCAUAUGGAUCCAGCGAGAGAGAGAGAGAGAGAGAGAGAGAGAGAGAGAGAGACCGGAGUCACUGUCACUAGCUGUAGCAAGCUAAGCGGCCAAAUUGCACCAAUGAAAACACUGAAGCAGCACAUCGCAUGUAGAGAAGAUCGAUGGUGAUGAGGAUCAUUCAUGUGGAGGCGGAAGAGGCGUGACUACAAAGCAGCAGUUCCACAAGGGAAGAUGGGGGACCUUCCUAUCACCACCACCACCAUGCAUGGAUUCUGUUGGAUGGCAUUCUGAAAGCCCACCAUUACUCUCUCUCUCUCUCUCUCUCUCUCUCUCCUCUCUUAUAUAUCUGCUAGCCAACCCGCCUUUCUUCUUAUCCUUCUUCUCAAUUCUUGGCUUAGGAUUUCUUUGUUGGUGUGAGAGGUUGAAGCUGCCAGCAUGAUCUGGUCAUCGAAUGCUGCUCAUUCUCUCCAUGGCUGCUUAGAAGCUGCCAAAAGCAUCAAUGGUGGGCAGUCCAAUAAUGGAGAUGUUAGCCGUAGGAAGAUUACCUUGUCUAGAUAGCUGUAGAGACGGAGCUAUAUGCCCUGAAACCCAAUGUUGCAUGUUUAGUUAUGAGUAUUGGUACGAGAAGGAAGUAUCUCAUCUUGAUCCAACAAGGUAAUAGGAUUAAGACCCAAAGAUAUAGCCAUCGUUUGAGGUUCUCAAGAGCUCCAAUGUGUCUUUCCAUCCAGAGAGAUGAGGGGGUUAUUUGAUUCCAUCAGAUCAUCCGGCAGUUUCAAUCACUCACUCACCAACACAAGGCUGCGCUCUUUUGCUCUCUCCCUGAAUGCUCAAAAGAGCUUCCUCUUUGUAGUUUAUGCUAGCUGAUGACUCUUGCUCACAUGAAGAGCCGUCUCGCAUUGUAGCCAUGAAGAAGAGUGUCUCAGAAAUGAGUCAUGAGAACACAAUUCUAGUAUAGACGGAGGAAGAGGAUGAAAACAUGUCUUCUAUUCCAUGUUCUAAGAAGAGAAAGGUGAGACACAAGGCAUAUAUCAGUACACAGAGGUAAGUGUUGGUGGCGUCCACUGCGAUGACAUGGAUAAUAUGGCAAACGACAGUCAUGUUAUGGGGUUGGCUUUGUCACGUAGCAUUCUGGAAUUUCUCAUAAUGUAAUAUAUUUCAUUUUUCUCUAGUGGUGAAUCGAUUCUAUGCAAAUUUUCUUGAAGAUGA